rnacentral:rRNA from 1 species
GUAGGUGGCAAGCGUUGUCCGGAAUUAUUGGGCGUAAAGCGCGCGCAGGCGGUUCUUUAAGUCUGAUGUGAAAGCCCACGGCUCAACCGUGGAGGGUCAUUGGAAAGUGGAGAACUUGAGUACAGAAGAGGAAAGCGGAAUUCCACGUGUAGCGGUGAAAUGCGUAGAGAUGUGGAGGAACACCAGUGGCGAAGGCGGCUUUCUGGUCUGUAACUGACGCUGAGGCGCGAAAGCGUGGGGAGCAAACAGGGAUUAGAUACCCUGGUAGUCCACGCCGUAAACGAUGAGUGCUAAGUGUUAGGGGGGUUUUCCGCCCCCCUUAGUGCUGCAGCUAACGCAUUAAGCACUCCGCCUGGGAGUACGGCCGCAAGGCUG